rnacentral:lncRNA from 1 species
UCAGGAGUAGCAUAGGCCUGCGUCUGUGGCUGGGUCUGGAACUGUUGCUGAGGUUGGAGUAAUGGGUCGGGCUGGAACUGUUGUUGAGGUAAGUACUGGGGCUGUUGUUGGAUGAGUUGGAAUUGAGGUUGAAACUGGGCUGCUUGCUGCUGUUGGGCUUGAAGUUGGGCUUGAAGCUGGGCUUGAAGCUGAGCUUGGAAUUGGUCUUGAAAUUGGACUUGAGCUUGGACUUGAGGCUGAGCAUGAGGUUGGGCCUCAGGCUUGAGCUUAGGAGGACGACCAGGUUUCCUUUUAGAAAGAGAAGAAACAUCAGUACCAACACCGUUGGAAUCGGCGUCGGCGGAAGGAGGCGGAGGAGCAGAUCCAGGUGGUCCGGCGAGCAUGUAAGAGUGUUUGACCAUAGCAAGGUAACCACUGUUCUUCAAACGCU